rnacentral:rRNA from 1 species
UUUGGAAGUUAAAAAAUCGUAACAAGGUUUCCGUAGGUGAACCUGCGGAAGGAUCAUUACCGAGUGUAGGGUUCCUAGCGCCCGGGCCCGCGCCCGCCGGAGACACCACGAACUCUGUCUGAUCUAGUGAAGUCUGAGUUGAUUGUAUCGCAAUCAGUUAAAACUUUCAACAAUGGAUCUCUUGGUUCCGGCAUCGAUGAAGAACGCAGCGAAAUGCGAUAACUAGUGUGAAUUGCAGAAUUCCGUGAAUCAUCGAGUCUUUGAACGCACAUUGCGCCCCCUGGUAUUCCGGGGGGCAUGCCUGUCCGAGCGUCAUUGCUGCCCAUCAAGCACGGCUUGUGUGUUGGGUCGUCGUCCCCUCUCCGGGGGGGACGGGCCCCAAAGGCAGCGGCGGCACCGCGUCCGAUCCUCGAGCGUAUGGGGCUUUGUCACCCGCUCUGUAGGCCCGGCCGGCGCUUGCCGAACGCAAAUCAAUCUUUUCCAGGUGACCUCGAUCAAGCAGCCCUGCAUGCCC